rnacentral:lncRNA from 1 species
CUGCCUCCCUCCCAGGUCCCAGCCGGUCGGGAAGUAACCCCACGUCUUCAUCACGGCCAUCCCUCACGGGGAGCCAGGGGCUCCUGUUUCUAUGGGUGAUCAACCAUUUCCUUCCUAUCUCCUCAGGGGCCAAAGGGAGACAGAGGCAGCCAGGGAGAAAAGGGAGAUCCAGGGAAGGACGGAGUCGGGCAGCCAGGCCUCCCCGGACCCCUGGACCCCGGGGCCUGUGGUCUAUGUGUCGGAGCAGGACGGUGCCGUCCUGAGCGUGCCGGGACCUGAGGUACGUGCCUGCCUGGCUUCUAAGGGACAGGCCUGUGGGGACCUUGGUACAAGGCUGAGUGGGGUCCGGGCAGCCGCGUGGGUGCGUGAUGACCCCAGCUGACGCUGUUCCUUUUCCCCAGGGCCGGCCGGGUUUCGCAGGCUUUCCCGUGAGUAACCUGGCGCCAGAGCUACGCGCUGCCCGCCACUGCCCUCCCUGCUGGGGAGGGGUCUCCGCCUGGUAGCACAGAGCAGCCUGGUCAAGCUGGGGUGGGCCUCGUCAGGCCUGAGGGAUAGCGACAGUCACUGCCCCGAGGAAGUGAUGGGAGCAGGAUGUGGGCGAGAGCCCCUGGCAGGCCCUGUGCUGGGUGGGCACCUGU